rnacentral:rRNA from 1 species
GACGAACCGUACAAACGUUAUUCGGAAUCAUUGGGCUUAAAGGGUGCGUAGGCGGUGCGGAAAGUUGGGUGUGAAAUCCCUCGGCUCAACCGAGGAAUUGCGCCCAAAACUACCGUGCUCGAGGAAGACAGAGGUGAGUGGAACUUAGGGUGGAGCGGUGAAAUGCGUUGAUAUCCUAAGGAACACCAGUGGCGAAAGCGACUCACUGGGUCUUUUCUGACGCUGAGGCACGAAAGCUAGGGGAGCAAACGGG